rnacentral:tRNA from 1 species
GGGCCGGUAGCUCAGGGGUAGAGCAGCGGACUUUUAAUCCGCGUGUCGUGGGUUCGAUUCCCAUCCGGCUCA